AUAUAUGUAAUUCAAUUAUCCAUAAAAAAUAAAUCACUAAAAACAACAAAUCAUUUAGAAAAUUGUUUGUUCCAAAUCCACCAAACGACUUGUUUUCUUGAUUGAGUUCUGCAACAAUGCCCAUCAGAUCCACUUCUUUUUCAUAAUGUUUUUUCUCCUCUUCUUCAAUUUAUUUCUUCUCAUUUUCCUUCUCUUCUUCUUCUAAUGAUUUCUUAUCUGCUUUAAUGUUUUCAAACUCCUGUUCAACCACUAAUUCAUCAUCAACUUCCUUCUCAUUUUUGUCUUCUUCUUCUUAUGAAUUCUUUUAAUUGCUCUAUGAACUCUUCUCAGCAUUUAUGAUCUACAACAAAAAAUAUAUUUGUACUGGUCGAUUUAUCGACCACUGGUCUAUUAAUAAAAAUAAAAAUAUGCAGCAAAAACAAAUCUGUAGUGGUCGAUCUAUCGACCAUUGGUCUAUUAAGAAAAACGGGAAAACGCCUCGCAUCAAACAUAUAAAUCAAGUUCCAAAUUCACUAGAUAUUGGCAGUGCAAUUCACAACAACAAGAACACUAUUAAAAUGUGUCCAAUUCAAUACAAAAAAUUUAAAAUCAAUACGCAAUAUAAGUACAAAAAUUUAAAAAUUUUCUACUUAUUAUCCAAAGCAAAACACAAUUAAACAUGUAGAAUCGAUAAUAUUAACUAAAAACACUCAAAUUUAAACUAAUUCAAUGAAGAACAGUGCAAUUUUUGUCAAAAUUGAAGAACCCUAACACAAAACGUCAUCGAAAAAAAUUACUAAAAUGGAUCUAAAACUGAUUGGGGAAGAAAAUUAAACUUACCUGAGCAAGAGAAACUGAAAAAUUUUCCCUGAGGAAGCAAGAAUCGUGCAAAAUUUAUUUUUCCAAAAAAUAUAAACUAAAAUCGGGAGAAGUAAGGUUUUGAGGAGAGAGAAAUGUAGUUGAAAAUAUUAAAUAAUUUUAUAGAAAAUUAAUAAAUAUAAAAGGAGGACAGUGUUGUAUUUAUUAAAAAGUAUAUUUUUCCCCAAGUUUUAAAAAUGUUAAAGAAGCUCAUGACCCCACAAUCCUAGUCCACUUUUUACCUUUUUCAUACCCUAAUCCUAAAAAAUAAAUCAAAAAGAAAUUUGGUUUGGUGUCUAACCCUCAAAAUAAAUUUUGAAAGUGGGUAGUUAUCAAAAUUGUCUCCAGUAAAUUGAAACUAGUUGUAUUGAUUUAUGCUAAAUCAGUAAUUAUGGGUAUUGUGUGUUCAUAACACACCAAGUUCCACGCAUGAAAAUCAAGUCAUCUGAAAGUACGAUGAAAUCAUGCUAAGUAUCCAUUUAAAAAGUAUUAGGUCAUGUAAGAUGCCAAUGUUACGAAACAUACAUAAUGGUGCUAUAGGAAUCAUGAGGGAAUUGAACUAAUAGGGAAAUCAUAAACUGAAUGAAAUUCCUAACUUUAACUUGUGAGAAAACUGAGAAAUUUUUAGUUACUUGGGAGUCAAUAGAUGAAAGAUAUCCAUUGAUGAAAUACCUCAUACGUGAAAGUGAAUUCUUGCUAAGGGAUUAAGAUAUUUUGAACUUGUGGAGGGACCCUUGUUUCUUCCUUUGAGAGAGUUCAAGUGCCUUUUUCUUUUUUCUGAAAUGGUUUGGGGAAGUGAAUAAGGUAUUAUAUGCUAAGAACCCUUUAAUUUUUCCCUAAAAG
rnacentral:lncRNA from 1 species